GACAGCCCGGCGAACCGCGCAGUGCGCUUCUUCUGCCUGCAGCAGAGAAAAGGAAAGAAAACUCCGCAGGGGCUCCGUUGGCUUCUUCACGAGUGACAACCAUGUUUUCCCAGAUAGAAGACCGGAGCCCUGCUCCUUUGCGAUCCGCCGAGGGCUGCAGAGAGCAUCCUCAUCCAUUUGGGCACCCCUGCCCAGGAAGAGCCCGGCCAUCCCUUUCCAGACUGGAUCCUUAAGAGGUGAAUUUUCUUCCGUGGAUUCCGAUUUGCUCCGUCUGACCAGCCUAGGCAAUCCAGCAUCGCGUGGUACCAGUGCCGCUGGGCACACUCGCUUCACGCCGGCUCCGCCUCACCAGCAAGCGCAUUCCCAGAUGGAGUCUCACUCUCUCACCCAGACUGGAGUGCAGUGAAGCAAUCUCAGCUCACUGCAACCUCCACCCUCCCGGGUUCAAGUAAUUCUCCUGCUUCAGCCUCCUGAGUAGCUAGGAUUACAGGCAUGCACCAUCAUACCUGGCUGUAGCCCUUAUUUUAAAUUCAAUGUACUGUAAUGAUUUACUUGGUUUAUUGUCUUAACUUUCUGUUCCACUGGAAUACAGGUUCAAUAAGAGAGGGAUUUUAAUCAAUUUUGUUCUCUGAAGUGUCUUCAGAACCAAAUGAGUAAAAAAUUAUCAUUGUUAACGUUUUCACUUCGUGCUAGCAUAUGGGCAAUCUCAAUUUAUUUCUAAUAACUCCCUGUAUCUUUC
rnacentral:lncRNA from 1 species